GAUGAAGAACGCAGCGAAAUGCGAUACUUGGUGUGAAUUGCAGAAUCCCGUGAACCAUCGAGUCUUUGAACGCAAGUUGCGCCCGAAGCCAUUAGGCCGAGGGCACGCCUGCCUGGGCGUCACACGUUGUUGCCCCCCCAUCUACUCCUUCGGGAUUGCGGGGGGCGGAUGAUGGCCUCCCGUGCGCCUCGCCGCGCGGUUGGCAUAAAUGCCAAGUCCUUGGCGACGCACGCCACGACAAUCGGUGGUUGCGAAACCUCGGUUGCCCGUCGUGUGCGGUCGUCGCGCAUCGAGGGCUCGAAAAAAUUGCCGGGUUCCGGCUCGGCUUUCAACGCGACCCCAGGUCAGGCGGGGUUACCCGCUGAAUUUAAGCAUAUCAAUAAGCGGAGGA
rnacentral:misc_RNA from 1 species